CCCUUCCUACGGGAGGCAGCAGUGAGGAAUAUUGGUCAAUGGAGGCAACUCUGAACCAGCCAUGCCGCGUGCAGGAUGACGGUCCUAUGGAUUGUAAACUGCUUUUGUACGGGAAGAAAAAGAGCUACGUGUAGUUUAUUGACGGUACCGUAAGAAUAAGGAUCGGCUAACUCCGUGCCAGCAGCCGCGGUAAUAAGGGC
rnacentral:rRNA from 1 species